UACGGAGGGGACUAGCGUUGUUCGGAAUUACUGGGCGUAAAGCGCACGUAGGCGGAUUUGUAAGUCAGGGGUGAAAUCCCGAGGCUCAACCUCGGAACUGCCUUUGAUACUGCAAAUCUCGAGUCCGGAAGAGGUGAGUGGAAUUCCUAGUGUAGAGGUGAAAUUCGUAGAUAUUAGGAAGAACACCAGUGGCGAAGGCGGCUCACUGGCCCGGUACUGACGCUCAUGUGCGAAAGCGUGGGGAGCAAACAGG
rnacentral:rRNA from 1 species